rnacentral:rRNA from 1 species
GGCCUUUUGUAUAUAAUUUAAGGUCUGACCUGCCCACUGAGUAUUUAAAUGGCCGUGGUAUUUUGACCGUGCUAAGGUAGCAUAAUCAUUAGUUUUUUAAUUAAAAACUGGAAUGAAGGGUUGAAUAAGAAAAUAACUGUCUCUUUUUAAAUUUAUUAAAAUUUUAUUUUUAAGUUAAAAAGCUUAAUUAAUAUUAAAAGACGAGAAGACCCUAUAGAGUUUUAUUAUUUUAUAUUUUUUUUAUAUUUUAGUAUUAAUAGAUUGAUUUUAUAAAAUAAUUUAAUUGGGGUGAUUGAAAAAUUAAAUUAACUUUUUUUGUAUAAUAACAUUAUUUUAUGAUUAAUUGAUCCAAUAUUUUUGAUUAUAAGAUUAAAUUACCUUAGGGAUAACAGCGUAAUUUUUUUAGAAAGUUCAUAUUGAUAAAAAAGAUUGCGACCUCGAUGUUGGAUUAAAAUUAAUUUUUGGUGUAGAAGCUAAAAAAUUAGGUCUGUUCGACCUUUAAAAUUUUAC